rnacentral:rRNA from 1 species
CAGUCGCCGCGGUAAUACGAAGGGUGCAAGCGUUACUCGGAAUUACUGGGCGUAAAGCGUGCGUAGGUGGUUUGUUAAGUCUGUCGUGAAAGCCCUGGGCUCAACCUGGGAAUUGCGAUGGAUACUGGCAAGCUAGAGUACGGUAGAGGAUGGUGGAAUUCCCGGCGUAGCGGUGAAAUGCGUAGAGAUCGGGAGGAACACCCGUGGCGAAGGCGGCCAUCUGGACCAGUACUGACGCUGAGGCACGAAAGCGUGGGGAGCAAACAGGAUUAGAUACCCGUGUAGUCCCUGUCUCUUAUAA